UCUUCCAUCCCGCCUGACCUCACCGAUUCGGCGAAGACCCCUGCCAUGCCAGAGGAGAGAUCGUAGCCUGCAGAAUGCACAACGCACGAAUACAGAGCGCGCGGUUAUCGGGGGAUCGCUCGGAUGUCUUGCUCGGGGCCCUGGCUGGUACCCCGCAAACGGCGGAAGUAGCCGCUAAAAGGAUGCACGUGAACGGGGCUCCGUGUUUCGCUCCGACCGGAGCCCCCCCGACGGGAUGUAAUGAGAACAAGCUCUACCAGUCCCUGUGACACUCCGCUCAUCACCCACCCCCUCUACACAAAGUGGGACUCCACGGGGUGUCCCUGCGCCGUGACCUCACGAAGGUUCCUCACCGCUCGCAGCUGUAAAAGCGGCCGUGCGGGUAUGGGCGACACUUCGCAACGCGAGCUGAAAAGGGAGGUCUCCCAGGCGCCCCGAAAAAGAAAAAAAAACCCCACACAUUGGAGACCCUUACA